rnacentral:tRNA from 1 species
GCUCGAUCUGGUUGACGGCGGGUGUGACGCCCGAAGCGUCGAUCAGGCGUUCCAGAUUCGCUUGCGUGAAGUUCGACACGCCGAUCGAUCGC